AUUGAACGCUGGCGGCAGGCUUAACACAUGCAAGUCGAGCGGGGUGAUGGUGCUUGCACUAUCACUUAGCGGCGGACGGGUGAGUAAUGCUUAGGAAUCUGCCUAUUAGUGGGGGACAACAUCUCGAAAGGGAUGCUAAUACCGCAUACGUCCUACGGGAGAAAGCAGGGGAUCACUUGUGACCUUGCGCUAAUAGAUGAGCCUAAGUCGGAUUAGCUAGUUGGUGGGGUAAAGGCCUACCAAGGCGACGAUCUGUAGCGGGUCGGAGAGGAUGAUCCGCCACACUGGGACGGAGAAAGGGCAAAGACUCCGACGGGGGGAAGAAGGGGGAAAUAUUGGAAAAGGGGGGAACCUUGAUCAAGCCAUGCCGCGUGUGUGAAGAAGGCCUUAUGGUUGUAAAGCACUUUAAGCGAGGAGGAGGCUCUUUUGGUUAAUACCAAAGAUGAGUGGACGUUACUCGCAGAAUAAGCACCGGCUAACUCUGUGCCAGCCGCCGCCGUAA
rnacentral:rRNA from 1 species